rfam:Schistosoma haematobium scaffold1373_17, whole genome shotgun sequence.
CACCACCCGUUGCUACUACCGUUUGAAUGGCUUAGUGAGGUCACUGGAUUAUUUGUUGUAGUGUCUUUGCCGCUCGACUGGUGCUGACAUAAACUAACUUCACCAUUUAGAUGAAGUAAAAGUUGUAACAACGUUUCCGUAGGUGAACCUACGGAAG